rnacentral:rRNA from 1 species
AUUGAACGCUGGCGGCAUGCCUUACACAUGCGAGUCGAACGGCAGCACGGGUGCUUGCACCUGGUGGCGAGUGGCGAACGGGUGAGUAAUACAUCGGAACAUGUCCUGUAGUGGGGGAUAGCCCGGCGAAAGCCGGAUUAAUACCGCAUACGAUCUACGGAUGAAAGCGGGGGACCUUCGGGCCUCGCGCUAUAGGGUUGGCCGAUGGCUGAUUAGCUAGUUGGUGGGGUAAAGGCCUACCAAGGCGACGAUCAGUAGCUGGUCUGAGAGGACGACCAGCCACACUGGGACUGAGACACGGCCCAGACUCCUACGGGAGGCAGCAGUGGGGAAUUUUGGACAAUGGGCGAAAGCCUGAUCCAGCAAUGCCGCGUGUGUGAAGAAGGCCUUCGGGUUGUAAAGCACUUUUGUCCGGAAAGAAAUCAUUGGCCCUAAUACGGUCGGGGGAUGACGGUACCGGAAGAAUAAGCACCGGCUAACUACGUG